AUGAGCGCCGCGACGGUGGAUCCCCAUCGCACUGUAGGACGGCGGCGCAGACAACCACUACAUCGGCCGGGAGCAGGAGGCCGCCCCGUGCACGCCGCUUCCCAUGCCUUGCCGGGGGUCGUGGUCGGCUGGAUCCGGCCGCCCCCUCGACUGGAUCAGCGAUCAGGUUUGCAGGGGCGGCAUGAUCUGCGUGGUGGCUGGGUCCGCUGCACGGCGAAGGGCGGGCUAGCACGCGAGGGACGGCAAGGUGCGCGUGGUUUCCGGUGGUCAGGGGCGGGUAGGGUGUCACGCGGCGAUAGGCGGGGCCCGAGGCGACUCCCGGCGGUGGAAGAGGGCCAGGACGGCGCGCCACGGAUGUACCAUAUAACUGGAAUUAACCGAUACAAGUCCAAGAAGGAUUGGCCGGUGCUACCGGUUGGCAUCAAGUUCGAUCCCACGGAUCAGGAGCUGGUCGAGCACCUUGAGGCCAAAGUGAGUGCCAACAGCGCGAGAUCUCACCCUCUCAUCGAUUUGUUCAUACCAACCAUCGACAGCGAGCAUGGCAUAUGCUACACCCAUCCUGAGAAACUUCCAGGUAUCACAAUAAGUGGCCUAAGCAAGCAUUUCUUCCAGCGCAACUCCAGGGCGUUCAAAAGGGGCACGUGGAUGCGUCGCAAGAUACAGUCGGAGUGCAGCAUGCACGCGAUGUGGCACAAGACCGGCAAUACCUUGCCGAUGAUGGUCAACGGCCGGCAAACGGGCAGCAAAAAGGUGCUGGUGCUGCACACCAACAAGAACUUCGACCAGUAG
rnacentral:rRNA from 1 species